rnacentral:rRNA from 1 species
UGAGGAAUAUUGGUCAAUGGACGCAAGUCUGAACCAGCCAAGUAGCGUGCAGGAUGACGGCCCUAUGGGUUGUAAACUGCUUUUAUAUGGGGAUAAAGUGGGGAACGUGUUCCCUUUUGCAGGUACCAUAUGAAUAAGGACCGGCUAAUUCCGUGCCAGCAGCCGCGGUAAUACGGAAGGUCCGGGCGUUAUCCGGAUUUAUUGGGUUUAAAGGGAGCGUAGGCCGUAGAUUAAGUGUGUUGUGAAAUGUAGACGCUCAACGUCUGACUUGCAGCGCAUACUGGUUUACUUGAGUUUGCACAACGUUGGCGGAAUUCGUCGUGUAGCGGUGAAAUGCUUAGAUAUCAUGAAGAACUCCGAUUGCGAAGGCAGCUUACGGGAGCGCAACUGACGCUGAAGCUCGAAGGUGCGGGUAUCGAACAGG